UACGGGGGAUGCAAGCGUUAUCCGGAUUUAUUGGGUUUAAAGGGUGCGUAGGCUGUGAGGUAAGUCAGCGGUGAAAUGCCCCCGCUCAACGGGGUGAAGUGCCAUUGAUACUGCCUUGCUGGAAUGCGGAUGCCGUGGGAGGAAUGUGUGGUGUAGCGGUGAAAUGCAUAGAUAUCACACAGAACACCGAUUGCGGAGGCAUCUCACGAAUCCGCGAUUGACGCUGAUGCACGAAAGCGUGGGUAUCAAACAGG
rnacentral:rRNA from 1 species